GAUGAACGCUGGCGGCGUGCCUAAUACAUGCAAGUCGAACGAAACUUCUUUAUCACCGAGUGCUUGCACUCACCGAUAAAGAGUUGAGUGGCGAACGGGUGAGUAACACGUGGGCAACCUGCCCAAAAGAGGGGGAUAACACUUGGAAACAGGUGCUAAUACCGCAUAACCAUAGUUACCGCAUGGUAACUAUGUAAAAGGUGGCUAUACUACCGCUUUUGGAUGGGCCCGCGGCGCAUUAGCUAGUUGGUAGGGUAAAGGCUUACCAAGGCAAUGAGGCGUAGCCGAAUUGAGAGGUUGAUCGGCCACAUUGGGACUGAGACACGGCCCAAACGCCUACGGGAGGCAGCAGUAGGGAAUCGGCCACAAUGGGCGAAAGCCUGAUGGAGCAACGCCGCGUGGGUGAAGAAGGUCUUCGGAUCGUAAAACCCUGUUGUUAGAGAAGAAAGUGCGUGAGAGUAACUGUUCACGUUUCGACGGUAUCUAACCAGAAAGCCACUGCUAACUACGUG
rnacentral:rRNA from 1 species